UACAGAGGUGGCAAGCGUUAUUCGGAAUUACUGGGCGUAAAGGGCGCGUAGGCGGUCUUGUAAGUCUUGUGUGAAAUCCCUCGGCUUAACUGAGGAACUGCACGAGAUACUGCGAGACUUGAGAUCGGGAGAGGGAAGCGGAAUUCCGGGUGUAGCGGUGAAAUGCGUAGAUAUCCGGAGGAACACCGGUGGCGAAGGCGGCUUCCUGGACCGACACUGACGCUGAGGCGCGAAAGCUAGGGGAGCGAACAGG
rnacentral:rRNA from 1 species